rnacentral:lncRNA from 1 species
UCUGGCAUAGGAGGGAAUGGCGGUAGUGUGUACUCGGGCUGAUGCGGCUGAGGUCCUCCAGGGCGCUGGACCGUGUAGCAGCGCGGCUGGGCAGCUGGGGUUCGGAUGAGGCGAGGGUUAGGUCGGAACUGAAUGCUGGUAAGGCCAUGGGCGAAGUCCGUGAGUCCCUGAAGCACCAGUCGCGGUCGUCUUUGAGUCACUGUGCGUUCGUGAGGUGUGCUGCAUCCAUGUAGAUGAUCCGGUCAUCCAUCUCAGCGUCGUCUAAAGGGACUC